ACACACACACACACACACACACACACACACACACACACACAGGGCUACAUCCCUUUCAAACCACAAUAUCUCCUAGCUGUGCCAAGCCUAUUGCUUGGAUUAUUAUUAAAACAAUAAGAUUAAUUUGUUGUGGGAAGCAACCAAAAAGGAGGUUUGGGGAAAAACAGAACUGUGGCUGAUAAAAUUCAAAAUGAUGAAUCCAGCCAUAACCCUCUUCGGAGCACGGCACUGUGGAAGAUGGGUCACCUGCUUCUUCUAUCGUGGAAUCAGCUAUGACCCCAGGAGCACUGCACUCGCAAAGAGAAUUCUACAUGAAGCUAUUUAUCCUAUUAUCCCAGCAAAUGAAGAAAUGAAGCUGCUGAGGUAGAUCAAGACAAAGAGGGAAGCUGCAAUGUUUUAGGUCAAGGUCACAAACUGAAGCACACUCAUGAAUAUCAAAUGCAGCAUAAGAAAAAGACUAAAGGGCUCAAGGAAAAGAAUCAGUUGAGUGAAGAAAGGGAGGUCCCAUUGAGUGACAUUGGGACUGGCAUGCCUGGUACCUGACCCCUCUACAUGAGCCGUGACCAUGGCACCUGCAAUACAAGGGAUUGUUUGAGAGGCAGGGGGUCUUAAUGAGUGAUGGAUACCUUGCUGAUGUUUACAGUACAGAUUAACUGAUGAGGUCAACAUAAAAAUGGAAAAGAAUAAAAGAGAGAGAGAGAGAAGCCAGGGAAGGAGUGUGGGCUAGAUCUAGCAAAAUGGUAGGAAAUAAAAAGACCUUGAAAAGAAAUCAGAAAGAAAAUGGCUAGGACAGGUAGGGGAAACUCAAGAAAAUGUUACAAGGAGAUGAGAUAAUUAUGAAUAAGGAAUAGUCAGCGAUGUUGAACCCCACAGGUGGAGUCAGCAGCCCCCACAACCAUAGUGAUAGAGUCAUCAGCCAGCAAGUUACUGAUUACCUUGGAACUAGCAGCUUCUGGGAGGAACCGAUAGGAACAGAGAAGGCAAAUUCAGCUUGGUUAGGAGCAAAUGGCUGAACUGAGUCCAAAUGACCCUGGUCAACAGAGCUGGAAAGGAAGAAGGCCAUAGGACUAGAGUGUGAACAGGGAUAGACCGAAGGAGCUCACUGCAGGUUUUAUUCUGUUUGUGUCUAGAAUGCUUAUAAGUGGUGCCAUCCCGAUAAACCCGGCCUCGGGGAGGGGCGGUAGAUAAAAACCUUGAUUUAUAGCGUUUGCAGAUAGCAAUGGUGUAAAAAGACUCAAGUGAUUCCUGGAACUGGGCUGUCAGUGUGAGCUCAGUGAAUAGCAGAGAACCAAAACCUAAAACCAACCACCACCUUCAAGGCCUGCUUCACAAGAGCCAAGGGAGGGAAGAACCGAUGUUGAACAUGGUGGGUAGAUAAAGAGCGGGCAGAUUGGGUCUGAAAUAGAGGUGGGAAGAUUGGGGUUGAAUUUUAAAAAAUAACUUUCUUGUGAGUUGGGUAUGCAAAGGUAUGCUUGGGAUAAAUACAUAAGAGGAGAGAGAGCUACGCACGCUUUCACUUUCUGGGUUACUUUCCCUCUAAGGACCAGAGGACUUCAUUGGGAGUGUGGAAGCAUGGGCUGAACAUCGUGUUAGAUUGGAAAGACAAAUUAAGAUCUGAAAGAAAAGGGCACAGACUCCUAUCUGGGCAGAGUUGGGAUCCCAGGGAUGUUGAAGACAAAGGCUUUGCCCCAGCACUCAUCCAUGAAGUCACAAGAAUUUAUCAGAAUGUAAUAGCUAAGCUCUUAAAGACAGAAAUAAAAUAGUGACCUUAUUUGGAGCUGAAAUCUUUUAGGAGGCUGUGCAUCGGUGGCAGAAGUUCUGGGAAGUGGUGGAUAUUGGCAGGAGAAUAUUUGAAGUGAUCAGCCAUGGUAUUUUGAGUUGAAGGGAAAGAAUAAAGUUGAGCCAGAGGGAGUUUGUCAAAGUAAAGAAAGACAUUACUUUAUUACCAUAGGGAGUUGGGGCCAAUUUCUGGCAUACAAAGAGUUUUAGCAUCCCUGGAAAGCCCUGCGGGAGAGCCGAAGAGGUCACAUACUCAUAGUCAUGCAUACCCAGGCACAUACAUACCUAUGGAUGCUUCAUGAGUAAAACAACAGAGAUGGAGGCUUAUAGCUGCCAGCCACUGAUAGGAAUGACAGCAGCUUUCUACAAUCCUGCACGGUACCCUAAGCAGUUUAGCGGCUCUUCUUGCCAUUUGCUUUCUCAGAGAUAGUUGGCUCUUUUAAACUACCUGUCAUUUCUGCCUUAAACCUCACUCAGGAAAGUCGCACACAUCCAACAAAAAAUCAGUUCCCUUCCACGGAUUGCAUUCUUCCUCCUUGAGAACAGACCUUCCCCAAGGCCUCAUCCCUAAGUGACGUGUCUUGUUCAAGCCAGACGGUACUAAGCUGUGCUUGCCUCUGGCAUUUUAUCAAGUUACCUUAUUUUAUAUCAUUCGUUAUAUAGAAAAUUGGUUAAAAUAGACCACAAAGGGGAAGUUGGGUUUUUAUCCUUCAUUGGGAUGUGACUUGGUGCCAUGACAAGUGAAUGGUGGAGUUGAAAAAGAAAGAGUGUUAUUAUUUAUCAUAGUAUUUUGCCAGAUUCCUCAUGCUCUAGUCUCAAAAAAACAUCAAGAAAGAGGACAUUGAAGGUCAUAACAUCCCUUAGAAAUAAAAGCAAAGCUUUAAUCAGUUGACACAGAGACAAUGAAGGAUUGAAUGCCACCUGCCAGAGCAAGACCUAACACCACUGAACACUGAACACUGAACACCGGACAGAAGGUAAAUGAAGUGUGUCUGUUCCAAUCACGACUGGAAUUUUAAGUGAGAGGAAUGGAAUAAACGCAGUUCGGAAUUUGAAAUAAAUUCAGAUCGGAAUGUGUCUGGAGACUGAGGUUUACAUAAGAACUACACAAAGCUCAGAGCGUGACCCAAGGUGAAGUGUUCCUGGCAUCUCGGAGUGAGAUAUGGACUCUUGAAGGACCAGGGCACAGACACUUCAUCCAGAGUCAUUUAUUUCUUCUUGGAGAAGAAAAUGCAGACGUUUAUAUAACAUGCUGGAGUGGGAGUAAUAUUUCUCAGACAUGGUAUUUCAAGUUGAGUGUUACCAAUAAAAUAUUCCCAUCAAAUAUCCAUUCUUCUUUUCCUUGAUUCCUGUUACCAUAUUCCUCUUGCAAGUCUCUGGUAGAUCACACAAUUCUACAACUGAUGGGUGAAAAACAAGAAGUGGUUAGAGGAAACUUAAGGUGUGAGUAGACUACAAGGAAUUCAGAAACAAGCGCUAGUGGCAAUGGACUUAGACCAUUGCUGAAUCACGUUCCUUGAGCUAGUGACUGUACAGGAAGCACAUAGAGAGGAGAAGACUCUCUGUGCAAAACUGAAGAAGGAACUGGUAACCAGCAAUGCAUCUUUUGUAAGGUAAACGGCUUUCUACCAUGGAAUGGAAAAACGUUCUGGCUACAAGUUUUUAAAUACUGGAUUUAGCUGGGGCAUGAGGAUGACAGGAUGAUGUGAGAUGCUAGACCUCAAAUAGGAGAUCGUGUGUAGAUUAAGAAACUUCCUGGCAUCUGGGGAUUUGUCAAGAGCAGGGGAGAAACAAACAACAAGGAGCAGGGCUGUGGAGAAGGCAUUCAAAGCACAGGGUGUUUCUGAAAUAAUAAGGAAGACAGCUCCCAGGAUGUAGGCUAUGUGAAAUCAGAAAUGUGGCCCCUCCACGCAUGCUUGUUCUGAGUGCAUCAUUGGAUUUAAGGAAGGGGCUAGUGAAUGACUGUGCUGGAGUUCAUACUUUGUAUUAUGUGUUACACUGUUCCAUGUUAAACAGUAGCCAGUGAUGCUGCUGCUCACAUUUGCAUUCAGGUGAAAGCAAGAUAAUUCUGCAAAUAUUGACCUUUGUGGCAGUUAGGGACCUGACUAUCACAGCUUUGGUGGUGGGGGUGCAUUCUAUAAUGUUUGUGUUUUCCACUGCUGGGAGCAGUCCAUAUAUUCAUCCCUAGAGUAGACACAAAAUAAGCUGAUUUGAUCAAACCACUGGAUGGUUCUGACCAUUUUAUCCGGUAAUGUUAGUAUGGUAUUAUUGUUACAGAUAAAUAUAUAAAGAAUUACUAGGUCAAGAGCUCACAGAAAUAUCGCUUGAUGAUGAGCACACUUUUAGUAUGUUUCCACUGGAGGUGGAAGGAAAAGAAUCAUCCAUGAUCAACUUGAUUGUCCACUCUUGAGAAAUGAAAGUAGGUUUGGGACAUGGCUAAGCUGUAUAUUCUAAAAUGCAGUGGAGCAUCCACCCAGCAUGAAAACAAGAGUUCUUUUGAAGAACAACUGCACAUUCAGAUGAAGCAACCAUGUCCUUCAAACCACAUCCUUCCUGUCGCCUGUGGGAAAGGGGUGGUAUUUGUACUGAGCUCUGAGUGCAUGCAGAAUAGAUCUGUAUUUCCAUAAAUAAAAGGGCAUUGUGUGUGUGUUUGGCACCUGGGAUGGCCAGAGCAGUUGAUUGCCUCUGAGAGCUUUGUUCCAACUCAGGGAUCAGCAGGAUUUAGAAGUGCUGAACUAGGAACUGAGCCCCGAAAACACAUACACAGGAGACCUGCGAUAACAUUAGGUUUGAAGAACAACAAUAGCAUUUGCAAAGCCAUUGGCUUUGUAUCAAUAGUCUCCUUAAAUCUAGCCCAGGGAAGGACUUAAAUACCAUGUGUCCCACCUGCCGACUAAAGAGCCACGUUUUAGUAAUAUUUUGAGAAAGCACCUGUGUUUCUGAUGAACAAACUCCAAAAUAGAAUGAUAAUAUGUGAGAGCAUAUGUUUUUGCUGAAACUAAAAACUCUGCCCUGGUCUUCUUUGCUUGUAUUGUUCACACCACGCUUGUAUUGUCGCUAAGAGUUAAUGAUUUGGUCAUGAAUUCAAAGAUAAAGUAGCAUACCCCAGCCAUCCAAAAUGCCAAUAUGGUAAAACAAAAUUUGCAGCUCCAUUGAAAUAAUCUUUAUCAAAAUAAAAUGCUGAUGUUUUCAUGCCAUUCAACCCCAAACUGCCAUGGACUGAACAGGAACUCAAUAUGACAAUAUUUCAGGUUACUUUAAUAGUUUGUUACUCUAGUGCCCACCCACUUCCUAGUCAAGGGUGUUUAUCUAUAGGUAUUUGGAAAACCUGAAUGUUUUUUUUUCUAUCUUUAAAAUAUUCUCUAUUAAAUUAUUUCUCCUGAGCUUAUAUAUAAAAUGCAUAAAUAGACAUCACUUGAAGAGAAAAUAAAUUAUUGCAUACUUUCUGUUGGAGACCAUGUCCUCAUGAUCAACAUUUUGAAUCUUCUAAUAAAAUGAAAGCAAAAAGAAAUUUUUUGGUCUUUUGGUUUUCCUCAGGAACGUGGUUUUUUUUCCUGUAUGAGUAAAACUUUCUUCUAUUGAGACUGAAGAAAUACCACAAAAUGGCAACUGUUCUUCCAGAGGGCCAGAGUUCCUAAUCCCCAAAUUCAGAGGCUUAUAACUACCUCUAACUCCAAGUUCAUGGUAUCUGGUCCCCUCUUCUGGCCUCUGCAGGUACCCAUACAUUGGCAUACAUGCCAACAAACAUAUACACAUAAAUAAAAAGAAAAUAAAUCUUUUCUUU
rnacentral:lncRNA from 1 species